GCCCGGCUGGCCAAAUGGUACGGCGUUGGACUUCUAUUAUUCGAUAAGAAUCAUAGGUGUAUCCAAAGAUUGCGGGUUCGAGUCCCGCGUUGGGCU